rnacentral:rRNA from 1 species
CCAGACUCCUACGGGAGGCAGCAGUGGGGAAUAUUGCACAAUGGGGGGAACCCUGAUGCAGCGACGCCGCGUGAGUGAAGAAGUAUUUCGGUAUGUAAAGCUCUAUCAGCAGGGAAGAAAAUGACGGUACCUGACUAAGAAGCCCCGGCUAACUACGUGCCAGCAGCCGCGGUAAUACGUAGGGGGCAAGCGUUAUCCGGAUUUACUGGGUGUAAAGGGAGCGUAGACGGUUAUGCAAGUCUGAAGUGAAAGCCCAAGGCUCAACCAUGGGACUGCAUUUGGAACUGUGUGGCUGGAGUGUCGGAGAGGCAGGCGGAAUUCCUAGUGUAGCGGUGAAAUGCGUAGAUAUUAGGAGGAACACCAGUGGCGAAGGCGGCCUGCUGGACGAUGACUGACGUUGAGGCUCGAAAGCGUGGGGAGCAAACAGGAUUAGAUACCCCAGUAA